rnacentral:tRNA from 1 species
GUUGGGGAUAUAGCUCAGUUGAUAGAGUGCUUGCCUUGCAUGCACAAGGCCCUGGGUUCCAUCCCCAGCAAAACA